rnacentral:misc_RNA from 1 species
GAACGCAUAUUGCGCCUGCCAGCACUCUGGCAGGCAUGCCUGUUCGAGCGUCAUUUCAACACUCAGGUCUUAGUCGCCUGGCGUUGGGGCGCUGCGGCACGGCCCGCAGGCCCCCAAAUAUAGCGGCGGACCCGCCGCGGCCCUGAGCGCAGUAGUUGACAAAGCCUCGCUCCGGCGGCCGCGGCGCGGCCCUGCCCCCGCCCAACAGCGCGAAACGCGCGAGCAAAGUUGACCUCGGAUCAGGUAGGACUACCCGCUGAACUUAAG